AUUGAACGCUGGCGACAUGCCUUACACAUGCAAGUCGAACGGCAGCACGGGUGCUUGCACCUGGUGGCGAGUGGCGAACGGGUGAGUAAUACAUCGGAACAUGUCCUGUAGUGGGGGAUAGCCCGGCGAAAGCCGGAUUAAUACCGCAUACGAUCUACGGAUGAAAGCGGGGGACCUUCGGGCCUCGCGCUAUAGGGUUGGCCGAUGGCUGAUUAGCUAGUUGGUGGGGUAAAGGCCUACCAAGGCGACGAUCAGUAGCUGGUCUGAGAGGACGACCAGUCACACUGGGACUGAGACACGGCCCAGACUCCUACGGGAGGCAGCAGUGGGGAAUUUUGGACAAUGGGCGAAAGCCUGAUCCAGCAAUGCCGCGUGUGUGAAGAAGGCCUUCGGGUUGUAAAGCACUUUUGUCGGGAAAGAAAUCCUUGGCCCUAAUACGGUCGGGGGAUGACGGUACCGGAAGAAUAAGCACCGGCUAACUACGU
rnacentral:rRNA from 1 species